AAGCUCCCAAGCGGUUACUGGCCAUGCCCCCAGGAUGUAAAACAAGAUGGAGGUUUGCAGCACAAACCAAACAGAAAUGCAAAGCGCACCAAAUUGGCCACAGCCGAAGGUUAGCCCCACAAAUCCUUUUUCACAAUUAAACCUUUAAAGAGAAUAAGUUAACUGCUGUUGGAGUUGAGAAGAGGAAAGAAAAAAGUUUAAAAAUACCUGGGGAAGAACUUCUUAUUCUUAUGCAAGUGCUUCCUCCAACAGGGAGAUAAAUUUAAUUCCUGUGGGUCAGAGCUGGCCUCCCUGGAGCGAAGAGGAAGACACUCCAUGGGCACGAGGCAGAAACUGCCAGUCAGCUACUCAGGGCAACUUGGGCCAUGCGUCCCAGCCCAGCAGGGAGGGGAGGGCGGUGGGGAGCCGCUGCUUACUGGACCCUCUUGAAAAAGGAAGCAAAGGACUGUGUCCGGAAUUGGUGGGUUCUUGGUCUCACUGACUUCAAACAUGAAGCCGCGGACCCUCGCGGUGAGUGUUACAGUUCUUAAAGGCGGCGUGUCCGGAGCUUCUUCCUUCUGAUGUUCGGAUGUGUUUGGAGUUUCUUCCUUCCGGUGGGUUCGUGAUCUUGCUGGCUCAGGAGUGAAGCUGCAGACCUUCGCGGUGAAUAACAACAUCAAGAAGAAAAUGGAAGCUAUCAGAAAAGCCUCUACCAUCCCCACCACAUCUACCUGUCUGCCUGUGUGUGUUCCUAAACUCCAGCUUCUCUCAUGAAAGAACUCUCCAUGCAUCUGGCUUAAGGUCAUCCCAUCCCUGAUCUCCACUUAAGGUUCAUGGCUGGAGGGAGCUUGCCUUGAGACUCAAAUGAGAUUUUGAACUUUAAACGAUCGAGUUGUUGCUGAAACAGGUAAGACUUUGCAGCUAUAGGGUGAUUGUAUUUUGUACUUGAAAAAGACAUGAGUUUGAGGGGCCAGGGGCCGAAUGCUAUUGGUUUGACUGUGUCCCCUCUGAAACUUAUAUUGAAAUUUGAUUCCCAAUUUGGCAGUGUUUGGAGGUGGGCCUACUGCGAGGUGUUUGAAACAUGGGAGUACUGCCCUCAUGAAUAGAUUAAUGCUGUCUUAAAGGAGUAAGUUCUUGCUAUUGCAGAAAUUAAUUAGUUCCCAUGAGAGUGGGUUGUUAUAAGUGAGCCCAGCCUCUCAUGCGUGUCCCUUUGCACUCAUCUGCUCGCCUUACUGCUUGUCUGCUAUGUUGUGAUGUAGCACAUGGCCCUAACUAAAAGGUGAGCAGAUAACAGUAUCAUGCUCUUGGACUAGAAUUGUCACCAGAAUUGUGAAACAAAUGAAACUAUUUUCUUUAUAAAUUACCCAGUCUCAGGGAUUCUGUUACGGCAACACAAAAUGGACAAAGACAGGAGGUAAUUAGCAUUAGAUAAGAUCCUCAGGGUAGGAACCUCAUGAGAUUGGCAGCUUUAUAAGAAGAGGAAGAGAGACCUGAGCUGGAACAUUUGCUCUGUCUUGCCACAUAAUGUCUCUUGCCAAGUCAUGACACAGCAGGAAGGCCCUCAUUAGAUACCUGUGCCAUGCUCUUGGACUUCCCAGCUUCCAGAAGAGUGAGCUAACUAAAUCUCCAUUCUUUAUAAAAUUACCCAUUCUGCAGAAUUGAAAUACAGCAACAGACAAUAUUUUAAGACAAUUACAUCUUCAGACAAUUAAGGCAUAAUUAAAACAAUAGAAAUGUUGAACUUACAGAAUGCAGGUGGUGGGAUUGUUGAGAAGGUGCUGGUCAAAAGACAUAAAAUUUCAGCUGGAUAAACCUAGAGUUUACAAGGGUAUUGGGAAAUGGAUUUAAAAAAAAUACUUCUGGGAGAGUAAUGUUGCAGUCUUUCAAAAAAGCAGUUUGCGUUAAUUAAGGUUUUUAAUUCUGUAUACUUCUAGGGAUUUAUUCUAAGGGAAUUCAUAUGAUUCACAUACAGAUUCCAAUAUACUAAUCUCAGCAUUAUGUAUACUAAUGCAAAUUUGAAAGCAAUGAACAUUGAUUUAAUAAACUGUCACAUUCAUAUAAUACCAUGUAGGUAUUAACAUAGUAAGAAAAAAAGUAUUCUAAUAUGAAAAGCUAUAUUCAUGACAAAUUAUUAAUUUAAAAUCAAGUUAAAUGGUUUAUUUAUAAUAAUCCUUUCUUUCUCAUAUCUCUUUAUAUGCAUGUAGACAGGAUACCAAAAUGUUAACAGUGAUAUUCUCUGGGUAGUGGGAUUAUCAAUUAUAAAUUUUCUUUUUGUAUUAUUUGUAUUUUCUAAAUUUCAUAAAAUAAAUAGGUAUUAUUUUAUAAUAAAGUUUUCUAAAA